rnacentral:rRNA from 1 species
UACGAAGGGGCUAGCGUUGCUCGGAAUCACUGGGCGUAAAGCGUGCGCAGGCGGCUUCUCAAGUCAGGGGUGAAAGCCCAGAGCUCAACUCUGGAAUUGCCUUUGAGACUGAGUGGCUUGAGUACGGGAGAGGUGAGUGGAAUUCCCAGUGUAGAGGUGAAAUUCGUAGAUAUUGGGAAGAACACCGGUGGCGAAGGCGGCUCACUGGCCCGUAACUGACGCUCAUGCACGACAGCGUGGGGAUCAAACAGG